UAACUUUUGAAUGAACAUAAGGGCAUAGGAACAUUGUCUAUCCUUGACACCCAGCUAUUAAUCUCUAAAUACCACCCCCCACUAAAAGGUACCAAGUGAUCCUUCGAGAAAUGACUGAUGCCAGGUCAGGAGCUAGGAGUGAAUGAGGACAACUUGGAACAUCUUGUGUCAGAAGCUCAGGACGCCUCUCAAGACGAACGAGGUCCUUCUAAAAGGACAUGGGAACCAGCCUGAAGUUGCCCACUGGCCAAAAUUAGAACAAUUUGAGAAUCAAAAAUAACAAUGACUGCAAACUGAAAAAUGAUUGGAAACUUUAAACAUAAAAAAGCCAUUCCCCCCAAAGAGUAAUCCAAAUUAAAAAAAAAACUAUAACUUCAUUUGCCACACUAUUGGUGGUGACUAUUACACCAACUUUACUCUGCAAAGUGAUAAUUUAAGAAAACAAACAGAUCUAUAACUAUACACUUUGG
rnacentral:lncRNA from 1 species